AAGGAAGAUAAUGACGGUACUUGAGGAGGAAGCCCCGGCUAACUACGUGCCAGCAGCCGCGGUAAUACGUAGGGGGCUAGCGUUAUCCGGAUUUACUGGGCGUAAAGGGGGCGUAGGCGGUCUUUCAAGUCAGGAGUGAAAGGCUACGGCUCAACCGGAGUAAGCUCUUGAAACUGGGAGACUUGAGUGCAGGAGAGGAGAGUGGAAUUCCUAGUGUAGCG
rnacentral:rRNA from 1 species